rnacentral:rRNA from 1 species
ACGAACGCUGGCGGCGUGCUUAACACAUGCCAGUCGAACGGAAAGGCCCCUUUGGGGGUACUCGAGUGGCGAACGGGUGAGUAACACGUGAGUAACCUGCCCUUGACUGCGGGAUAACUUCAGGAAACUGGGGCUAAUACCGGAUAGGAAUCCUUGCUGCAUGGUGGGGGGUGGAAAGCAUCGGCGGUUUUGGGUGGAGUCGCGGCGUAUAAGCUUGUUGGGGGGGUAGUGGCUUACCAAGGGUUUGAGGGGUAGCCGGCCUGAGAGGGCGAGCGGCCACAUUGGGACUGAGAUACGGCCCAGACUCCUACGGGAGGCAGCAGUGGGGAAUAUUGCACAAUGGGCGGGAGCCUGAUGCAGCAACGCCGCGUGCGGGAUGACGGCCUUCGGGUUGUAAACCGCUUUCAGCAGGGGCGAAGCUUGUGGUGACGGUACCUGCAGAAGAAGCACCGGCUAACUACGUG